AGCACCGGCCUUAUCGAAAAAUUUUCUAGCGUGUUUGCCUUCGUGGUCGUUGUGCUACUGUCACAAAUCGGAUCAAAACAAGCAAAAAUUUGUUUCGGAUCAGAUCUAAACGGAAAAAUCAAAAAAGUUUUCCUUCGAUUCUGUUCCGAUGCGUAUCCCAGUCGGAUGAAUACCAAUGCCAUUUGUUAAUGGAAUCACCUUCCCUCUACCGUAUACUAAGCCUGAACUCCAGCCCACAUCAAAAAAUCAAGCGCCGUGAGAAGAUUUCCAUCCCCGAGAACGUCAAUAUGCGGCCUCACCACUCGGACACAAAAGGGACAAGCCGAAUGUAAAUGCUGCGAGCGAAGUGUGGGCACGACAGUAUGGGCCGAAAAAUUGUGCUAAAGGAAUAGUGUACGGAUGAGUGCAUACUUCUGCGCAGUUAAUUAUUCAAGUAUUUAAGAAUGUAUACUGCUUCGCGACUAAAAACGGGUGAACCUGUGGGAAAUUUCAAUAGAUUUUGAAUUUUGUAUGA